UACGAAGGGGGCUAGCGUUGUUCGGAAUUACUGGGCGUAAAGCGCGCGCAGGCGGUUUCUCAAGUCAGUGGUGAAAGCCCGGAGCUCAACUCCGGAACUGCCAUUGAAACUGUGAGACUUGAGGACGAGAGAGGUGAGUGGAAUUCCCAGUGUAGAGGUGAAAUUCGUAGAUAUCGGGAGGAACACCAGUGGCGAAGGCGGCGAUCUGGGAAGAUACUGACGCUGAGGUGCGAAAGCGUGGGGAGCAAACAGG
rnacentral:rRNA from 1 species